rnacentral:lncRNA from 1 species
CCUGGAGCAGAGGGCUGGGGAAAAACAGGGUGCGGAGGGCAGUGCAAGUUUCACGGGUUGUGAGAAGUUUGUGGGCUGGAAAGGUAAGCGGCUUCCGUGAGCCUCUCUGCAAGACUUUACUGGAAAGGACAAGGAAGCAUUUAUUAUCCAGGAGAGAAGGAGUGGAUCCGGCAGAUGUGUUUUAUCCAGUGCACUCAAGCCUAAGGUCCAAACUCAAAGAGCUAACGGGGCAUGGCAGGCUAUCAAGGCAGUCUUGGCCUCAACAGACACCUGGCACUUCCCUCCGAGCCCUGGAUCACUGUCGCCGCAGCCUGGAGACAGCCUGGAACCUACAACCGGAGUAUGUCCAAUGGCGAGCAAGUGAGAGGAGCAGGAAGACACCGUCGGUAGGGGUAAGAAGAAAUCAUAGUCUAGUCUUGCUCACCAGCGUUCCAUAUUAGGAUUGGAGGACAGAUCUACUAGUAAGAGUAU